rnacentral:rRNA from 1 species
GUAGGUGGCAAGCGUUGUCCGGAAUUAUUGGGCGUAAAGCGCGCGCAGGCGGUUCUUUAAGUCUGAUGUGAAAGCCCACGGCUCAACCGUGGAGGGUCAUUGGAACCCGGAGAACUUGAGUACAGAAGAGGAAAGCGGAAUUCCACGUGUAGCGGUGAAAUGCGUAGAGAUGUGGAGGAACACCAGUGGCGAAGGCGGCUUUCUGGUCUGUAACUGACGCUGAGGCGCGAAAGCGUGGGGAGCAAACAGGAUUAGAUACCCUGGUAGUCCACGCCGUAAACGAUGAGUGCUAAGUGUUAGGGGGUUUCCGCCCCCCUUAGUGCUGCAGCUAACGCAUUAAGCACUCCGCCUGGGAUACGGCCGCAAGGCUG